CCCUUAGAUGUUCUGGGCCGCACGCGCGCUACACUGAUUCAUGCAACAAGUUUUGUCCUUGGCUGAUAGGCCUGGGUAAUCUUUGAACGUGAAUCGUGAUGGGGAUAGAUGAUUGCAAUUAUUCAUCUUCAACGAGGAGUUCCUAGUAAACGCAAGUCAUCAGCUUGCAUUGAUUACGUCCCUGCCCUUUGUACACACCGCCCGUCGCACCUACCGAUUGAAUGGUCCGGUGAAAUCUUCGGAUCUGAGAGAUGUCUGAUUAAUUUCGGACGCCUUUUGGAAAAGUUGCUUAAACCUUACCAUUUAGAGGAAGGUGAAGUCGUAACA
rnacentral:rRNA from 1 species